AUACGGAGGGUGCAAGCGUGAUUCGGAAUCACUGGGCGUAAAGGACGCGUAGGCGGGUUGGCAAGUCAGAUGUGAAAUCCUACAGCUUAACUGUAGAACUGCAUUUGAAACUGCUAACCUAGAGUAUGGGAGGGGGAGAUGGAAUUAGUGGUGUAGGGGUAAAAUCCGUAGAUAUCACUAGGAAUACCGAAAGCGAAGGCGAUCUCCUGGAACAUAACUGACGCUAAGGCGUGAAAGCGUGGGGAGCAAACAGGAUUAGAAACCCUAGUAGUCC
rnacentral:rRNA from 1 species